CAGUAGCCGCGGUAAUACGAAGGGGGCUAGCGUUGCUCGGAAUUAUUGGGCGUAAAGGGCUCGCAGGCGGUUUCUUAAGUCUGAUGUGAAAGCCCCCGGCUCAACCGGGGAGGGUCAUUGGAAACUGGAAAACUUGAGUGCAGAAGAGGAGAGUGGAAUUCCACGUGUAGCGGUGAAAUGCGUAGAGAUGUGGAGGAACACCAGUGGCGAAGGCGACUCUCCGGUCUGUAACUGACGCUGAGGAGCGAAAGCGUGGGGAGCGAACAGGAUUAGAUACCCCGGUAGUCCCUGUCUCUUAUAC
rnacentral:rRNA from 1 species